GGGGGCUGUUGACGUCUGCGGCCGCUGCGUUGUGCGCAGUCGGGCUAAGAGCGGCGACCGGCUCGGGCUGGUGUGGGAGCAGAGAAGUUUCCCGCCGAGUGGUCGCCAGACACCUCUGCCGAGUUGUGGCGGCCGGGCGGGGUCGCAGGGCUGUGGAGGCAGGGAGCCAGGUCGGCUGCAGGCCCGGCCGGGACGCUCGCCCUCCCCCUCCCUUUCUCCAUCCCCUCCCCUCCCCCACGCUCACGUGCUCCUGACCCCAAAGCGAAAGACGAUUGCCCAGCAGGUCACUGUGAAGUUGGGACACGUGAGUUGGCAGAGAUGAACUCUUACUGCAGUGCACACCAACCCAGAGACGGCUAAACGAGCAUUCCCGCAGUCCUGCACUCGGCUGACCAGGAGAGAAGAGCUUAUGAACUGGAUGAAAAGGUCUUGUCUUGAGCCCGUGCAAUUACCUCCUCUUCGUCCCCACAAUCCACUGAAAUGGGAAGAAAUUAAACAGAGAGAGAAGAAAAGAAAAGAGGAAACUUUGUAGGACUGCUGUAAAAGAGGAAAGUGUACCACUGACGUAUAAGAAAUAUGGAACUUGGGGAAUAUGUGAAGCAGAAAGGACCAAGUGGAAGCAGAAACCUAUCAGACUUGAAUAGCAGAUUCCACAUAUAGUAGAAGAAAGACUGAAGAUAAAUGAACUCAUCCACGUUUGUCACUCAGUGGUUAUAUCGAGUGCAGUGUUGAGAAGGCGUGUGAAGGUGAGUCUGUACUGAAUGGGGAGCUCUGCUGUUAGUGAGUAGUGACUUCAGGGUUCAACGGAUUUUUCAGAUGAGCUGAAGAAAACUGCUAAGGGUCUGAUAAUUCCUAUAUCGCUCCAAAGCACAGAAUGCCAGGAAGUUUCCCCAGUAAUUUUUUUGAGGCAGGCAUAAUUCUGGUCCCCAAAUUUGCUGAAGAAAGCACUCAAAAGAAAACUAAAGAAAAAAUUCAAUUAUAAAGAUGUAGAUACCUGAAGUAAAAUAUUUUAAAUACUUCCACUGUAAACAGUUUCAAGUAAGCAGAAACACUGUGCACAGUGAAAUACAGAACUCGUGGUACCUACAGGUGAUAAAAGAAGCUCCUUUGCAGAAAUUGAAGAUUUAUAAUUCACAGAUGAGGUGGUGAAUAACAUCCGCCCGGCUUUGCCGCGUGGGGCGGUUCACAGGGUGGGCAGUGUUGCUGACCUGCUUCCCCAGGGCCUGGGAGGAAUCACCAGCAUCCCCACCAGGAGUCGGAGAACUAGGUGAGAGCUCAGGCAGGAAGUCCAGCACCUGAUUUUGAAGGUCAGACUUACAUUUGGUAUUGGUUGAGCUGGUUAUCUGUAUGUCUGUCUUGUCAUGAGAUAAGAACUAUAAUGAUUCACCUUUGUUGCCAUCUAGUACAGACAUUUCCAUAAAGCAAGCGCUAAGAAAAUCCUUGUUAAUUGAAUCUAAUCACAGGAGCUGUGGAAUAGUGGGACACUCACGGGUCUUGGAGACAAGGAUUUGGUUUCAUUCAAGCCAGGCUGCUAGUGGGUAUCUGCUUUUGUCACGUUACUUCCCUCGUGACUCGGCUGGGACACCCCCUCUGGGGAGCCUCCUCGAUGCCCCCGCAUCCUGAGCGAGCUCACUUGUGUGCUGCCACAGCCCCGUGCUUCCCUCUUCUGGGGCGGUUCGCUUCUCCUGUGUUUCCUCUGUGAGACAGUGGUGCUUGAGGCCAGAGACUCUGUGCUUUGCAUCCCUGUAUCUGCAGAGAACAGCCCUCGUCUGGACACAGUAAGGGCUGACCACACUUGAUACAUGAACAAAGGAUUUAACUUCCCUGAACUUAAUUUUUCUCCAUUUGAAAAAUGCGAACGUUAAUAAUACAUGAGAUGAAGUAAGUCAGAAAGAGAAAAACAAAUAUCUUAUAUUAACGCAUAUAUGUGGAACCUAG